rnacentral:rRNA from 1 species
GUCUAUGAUCAUGCCACCCUGAACAAGCCCCAUGUCUGAUCUUGGAAGCUAAGCAGGGUCAGGCCUGGUUAGUACUUGGAUGGAAGACCACCUAGGAAGACCGGGUGCUAUAGGCA